rnacentral:ncRNA from 1 species
AUCGACAGGAUUUUGGCGAUAUACGGGAUAAGCGGCAGGUUCAGCACCAACAACACCAGAUUGCCGAUAAACAUCGAAAUGAUGACGGCCCAGAAAAUCUCUGGUGUGUCUGUCAUCAAACGCGGGCC